UACAGAGGGGGCAAGCGUUGUUCGGAAUUACUGGGCGUAAAGGGCGCGUAGGCGGCCUUCUAAGUCGAACGUGAAAUCCCCGGGCUCAACCCAGGAACUGCGUCCGAUACUGGAAGGCUUGAAUCCGGGAGAGGGAUGCGGAAUUCCAGGUGUAGCGGUGAAAUGCGUAGAUAUUCGGAAGAACACCAGUGGCGAAGGCGGCUCACUGGUCCGGUACUGACGCUGAGGUGCGAAAGCGUGGGAGCAAACAGG
rnacentral:rRNA from 1 species